AUUGAUGUAGCUUUAGUGGCAGAGCACUUGCUUAGCAUUCAUGAGGCUCUGGGUUCAAUUCCUAGCAUCGCCA
rnacentral:tRNA from 1 species